UUGAUUGGAGCUGCGAUCAAGGCUCCUCGCAUUACUUCUAAAAAUCUGAUCAGUGUAAUCUUUUGUGAAGCUGUUGCUAUAUAUGGUGUUAUUGUGGCGAUUAUUCUACAAACAAAACUAGAGAGUGUUCCUACUGCACAGAUAUCUGCUCCAGAGUCCCUUAGAGCUGGAUAUGCAAUAUUUGCCUCUGGGAUCAUUGUAGGCUUUGCUAACCUUGUCUGUGGGCUGUGUGUAGGAAUAAUUGGCAGCAGCUGUGCACUGUCUGAUGCUCAAAACUCCUCACUCUUUGUGAAAAUUCUUGUGAUUGAGAUCUUUGGUAGUGCGCUUGGGUUGUUUGGAGUGAUCGUUGGAAUAAUUAUGUCAGCUCAAGCGACAUGGCCUGCAAAAACAGCGUGAUUGUUGUUCUUUCCAGAACACGAAAAUCAAUCGUGACGGAGUGCAUAUUUGUUAUGCAAUGCCAAAUAGACUGUAUUUUAUUCUUUUAAUAUUUCUUGUUAGGCAUGUAAAAACUGAUAUGGAAAUGAGAUGCUAUCUUCUUUUGAUUUUAGUCGUAGACUGCAUUUACCCAACUGAAAAAUAAGAUCUUGAGCAAA
rnacentral:misc_RNA from 1 species